rnacentral:rRNA from 1 species
UACGAAGGGGGCUAGCGUUGCUCGGAAUCACUGGGCGUAAAGGGUGCGUAGGCGGGUUUUUAAGUCAGGGGUGAAAUCCUGGAGCUCAACUCCAGAACUGCCUUUGAUACUGAAGAUCUUGAGUCCGGGAGAGGUGCGUGGAACUGCGAGUGUAGAGGUGAAAUUCGUAGAUAUUCGCAAGAACACCAGUGGCGAAGGCGGCUCACUGGCCCGGUACUGACGCUGAGGCACGAAAGCGUGGGGAGCAAACAGG